CUUUGGAGGUUUUGGAUACUUGUGAAGAUGUACAUCAAGAGCUGUCAUGCCUUUUCUGAAGCCUCCUUCUUCCUCAGAAAGACCUCUGGAAAGUUCAAAGUGUCAAGAAAAUUCUUGCAGAACUGUGAUAAGACAUGCAUUCAAGCAGUGAAGACUUCCAUAACACUGGCUAAAUGCCUUAUUAAUCUAACAUGUGUCAGAUCAGUGAAAUCACAUGAAGGGAAAACAAGUACUGGCUGCAAAAGAUACAGGCCGAGGAGCAAGGGCAUCUGAACCAUAGUAAAGGUGUUCACUUCCAGAAGCUUCUGGGGAAGAAGGACUGAUCCUUAAUGUCAGAGGAAGGUACAACUUUUAUCCUGCGUAAAUAACUUCAUUCUCAGAGCAGUCUGGA